UUCUCCAGCUUCCAGAGGUGGUCAUCAUC
rnacentral:piRNA from 1 species